rnacentral:rRNA from 1 species
UACGUAGGGUGCAAGCGUUAAUCGGAAUUACUGGGCGUAAAGCGUGCGCAGGCGGUUGUGCAAGACAGAUGUGAAAUCCCCGGGCUCAACCUGGGAAUUGCAUUUGUGACUGCACGGCUAGAGUGUGUCAGAGGGGGGUAGAAUUCCACGUGUAGCAGUGAAAUGCGUAGAGAUGUGGAGGAGUACCGAUGGCGAAGGCAGCCCCCUGGGAUAACACUGACGCUCAUGCACGAAAGCGUGGGGAGCAAACAGG